rnacentral:rRNA from 1 species
AGAUUGAACGCUGGCGGCAGGCCUAACACAUGCAAGUCGAGCGGCAGCACGGGUACUUGUACCUGGUGGCGAGCGGCGGACGGGUGAGUAAUGCCUAGGAAUCUGCCUGGUAGUGGGGGGAUAACGCUCGGAAACGGACGCUAAUACCGCAUACGUCCUACGGGAGAAAGCAGGGGACCUUCGGGCCUUGCGCUAUCAGAUGAGCCUAGGUCGGAUUAGCUAGUUGGUGAGGUAAUGGCUCACCAAGGCGACGAUCCGUAACUGGUCUGAGAGGAUGAUCAGUCACACUGGAACUGAAGACACGGUCCAGACUCCGUACGGGAGCAGCAGGUGGGAAUAUGGACAAUGGGACGAAAGCCGUGAUCCGAGCCAUCGCCGCGUGUGUGGAAGAAGGUUCGUUCGGUAUUUA